AUUGAACGCUGGCGGCAGGCCUAACACAUGCCAGUCGCGCGAGCGGCGGACGGGUGAGUAAUGUAUGGGGACGGCCCGCUAGCGGGGGAUAACUACUGGAAAUGGUGGCUAAUACCGCAUACUCUCGGACAACCCAUAUGGGAUUGGCUAGUAGUUGGGGUAAAGGCUCACCUAGGCGACGAUCUCUAGCUGGUCUGAGAGGAUGCUCAGCCACACUGGGACUGAGACACGGCCCAGACUCCGAGGGAGUCAGCAUUGGAGAGUAUUGCACAGUGGGCGCAAGCCGUAUGCAGCCAUGCGGCGUGUAUGAAGAGGGCCUUAGGGUUGUAAAGUACUUUCAGCGGGGAGGCGUUACCCGCAGGAGAAGCACCGGCUAACUCCGUGCCAGCAGCCGCGGUAAUAC
rnacentral:rRNA from 1 species